ACAGCAGCAGCAGCAGCAGCCUCCGCCACCGCCUGGAAGGCGGCGCUCGCCCGCCGCGUGCGGGGCCUGGGGGGCCCAUGGGGUCGGCGGCUCGGGGUGCCGCGGCGGACGCCGGGGCUCCUGCAAGGAGACACCCCGGGGCGCUGGCACGCGAGGAGGCGCCGCCGGCUCGGGCAGGGAGGCGACGCCGGGCGCGGCGGAACCGGGAGCCUUCGCCGCGGCCCUGCGCUGCAGAGAGCCACGGAGAUGAGCCGGGUCCUCGGGAAGAAGAGAAGAGCUGUGGGUAGCCCCGCUUGGGAGAAAAGCGCUUUGAGCGCAGUUCUCUGCGCACCGAGACUCCGGUUGGGAACUCGGCGUUCCCACGCUCCCGGCAUCCUUGACUUCCCACUUUCUGCUCACUGUACCAGAGAGGACGCCACCUUCUGCCCUCCCCCAGCUUGGGGGGAGGGGGCUCUCCGUUUUUAGGCUUGGAGGUGAUCUGUCUGAGGGCAUCAGAAACAUAACUAUUUCGUGGAAAACCAGUGAUUUGCCUAGCUUAGACGGACUUGUUUGGCUAAUUACAGGACGGGCUGCGGUUCGGGAAAGCGGGAUUCUCCCAGCGCCAGCUGGCCCCGCUCCGGAGCCCAGCCUUCCGCAGCGGCCUUGCCAGGUGCCCUGCCUGCCUGCAUCCCACUAUGCCCUGUCCUGACGGUGAGAAACCGAAAGGAACCGAAAGCGAACCAGCUGCCUCCCAGCUAACCUAGAUGGCUCCCCCGGGAUUUAUAAAAUAAAAUAAAACCAUCCUCUUUUCCUCA